GGGAUAUGCCCAUAGGUACGGAAUAGCCUCUGGAAACGGAUGGUAAUACCGUAUGUGCCCUUCGGGGGAAAGAUUUAUCGCCUUUGGAUUACUCCGGGUUGAAUUAGGAAGUGGGGGGGGAAAUGGCCUACCAAGCCUACAAUCUAUAGUUGGUUUUAAAGGAGGAUCAGCAACAUGGGGACUGAAACACGGCCCAAACUCCUACGGAAGGCAGCAGGGGGGAAUCUUGGACAAUGGGGGCAACCCUGAUCCAGCCAUGCCGCGGGAGUGAUGAAGGCCUUAGGGUCGUAAAGCUCUUUCUACUGUGAAGAUAAUGACGGUAGCUAUGGAAAGAAACCCCGGUUAACUCCGUGCCAGCAGCCGCGGUAAUACGGAGGGGGUUAGCGUUGUUCGGAAUUACUGGGCGUAAAGCGCACGUAGGCGGAUCGGAAAGUUGGGGGUGAAAUCCCGGGGUUCAACCCCGGAACUGCCUCCAAAACUAUCGGACUAGAGUUCGAGAGAGGUGAGUGGAAUUCCUAGUGUAGAGGUGAAAUUCGUAGAUAUUCGGAGGAACACCAGUGGCGAAGGCGGUUCACUGGCUCUAUACUGACGCUGAGGUGCGAAAGUGUAGGGGAGCAAACAGGAUUAGAUACCCUGGGUAGUCCACACCUGUAAACGAUGAAUGCNAGUCGUCGGGACAGCAUGCUAUUCGGUGACACACCUAACANCAUUAAGCAUUNUCGCCUGNUGGAGUACGGNCGCAAGAUUAAAACUACANAAGGAAUUGACGGNGGGNCCGCACAAGNGGNGGAGCAUGNUGGUUUAAUUNNUAAAGAAACGNCGCAGAACCAUUAC
rnacentral:rRNA from 1 species